CCUACGGGCGGCAGCAGUGAGGAAUAUUGGUCAAUGGGCGCGAGCCUGAACCAGCCAAGUAGCGUGAAGGAUGACUGCCCUACGGGUUGUAAACUUCUUUUAUAAAGGAAUAAAGUGAGGCACGUGUGCCUUUUUGUAUGUACCAUAUGAAUAAGGAUCGGCUAACUCCGUGCCAGCAGCCGCGGUAAUACGGAGGAUCCGAGCGUUCUCCGGAUUUAUUGGGUUUAAAGGGAGCGUAGGUGGAUUGUUAAGUCAGUUGUGAAAGUUUGCGGCUCAACCGUAAAAGUGCAGUUGAAACUGGCAGUCUUGAGUACAGUAGAGGUGGGCGGAAUUCGUGGUGUAGCGGUGAAAUGCUUAGAUAUCACGAAGAACUCCGAUUGCGAAGGCAGGUCACUGGACUGCAACUGACACUGAGGCUCGAAAGUGUGGGGAUCAAACAGGAUUAGAUACCCGAGUAGUC
rnacentral:rRNA from 1 species